AUUAACCAGACUUGUGUCAUGUUAAUUGCGUCACUUGAAGUUUAAGCAUGUCAAGUCAGGUUAGCUGGUUAAUCAUAUUAUCCGUGACCCAACCCGACCAAUUAAUCAAAUGGAUUAAAUAGGGUCAUGUUACUGUUGAAUAAACAAGUUGGAUUAUGGGUUGAGUUAUUGACCCGUUUAUCAUGUGUCAUGUCUAGGUUCACAAUUUUCUUAGGAUCUACAUCUCAACCCAACACAAUCUGAUCGGACCCGACUAAUUAGUCCUAGUUAACAUCUAGGUACGUGCUCAGCCUAGCCUAAGUUAGUCCUUGCUAAUUCAAAAAGUCGCCAAGUCAAACUAUAUAAAGCUAAUAUUUGGCCAAGCAUAGGCUAGCUAAGAAUUUAACUUGGAUGAGAUGAGCAUGAGCCGAGUCAUCUUUUAGGACAAGCCUAGAUAGCAAUAACUUGCACUUUACCAUUCUUAGGUGAUUUCUACAUAGGAUUACGAAAUUGCAUUAGGAUAAUUUGGAUAUUAAAC
rnacentral:lncRNA from 1 species